CUGACGGAUCUCCAGCUCCAGCACGUUCCUCUUCCUGUUGAAGGCAAAACUUCCAAAGAAUUUCACCACACCACUUUGGUCUCUAAGCAAUUAAGUGUUAAGAUAAAAAAAGCAGAUGACAGCCGCAGCUUGUGGGUAAACAGAGUAAAGACAACAAUCCUUGGUUAAAGUGAUGACCUCAGUCUUUGUGCAGCCAGCAGGUUGUUUCCAAGCACAGACCCGUCUCAGAUAAAGGAUACACCCAUUGUUUGAUGACUGGCCCAAUGUCUUUGCCAGAAACGUUGGAGAUGGAUUUGAGGAAGGCGUGAGCCUUACACUGGAACAUCUUGUAGUAUUCCCAGGACAACGUGUGAGGGUGUUUGACAGAGAAGUGGAGAUGGGGGGUUGGACUAAAGAGAAAAAUCCUUACUGUGAUAUCUCAAUACAAACAUUUUAAAAAUAA